rfam:Myotis lucifugus cont2.12142, whole genome shotgun sequence.
GGCGGUUCUUGGAUGAUGCACCCCAGAAUCAGGCUCCCUCCUUUCUGGUUCAUGGUGUGUCACCCUAGAAGUGCA